UAUUGCCCUAUGAAAUAUAGAUACCCAGAGC
rnacentral:piRNA from 1 species